rnacentral:ncRNA from 1 species
UUAAAGUUUUAUUCUGGCUUUUUAGAUUAAUUUUUAAAUUUUUUAUAUGUAAAUUUUAGUGUUAAAUUUUAAAAAUUUAAAUAGUUUUUAAAAAUAAAUAUUUACGCAGUAUUGAAUAUUAAAUUUUAAGGAAACUUAGAUUUAGAAAUUUAUAAUAAUAUUAACAAAAUUUGUGCCAGCAGUUGCGGUUAUACAGAUAAUGUAAUUAAUUUUUUUUAGUAGAUAAUUAAUUUGAGAAUAAAAAAUUAAGAUUAAAUUUAUUAAGUGAAAUUUUAAAUUUAAAUUAAUUUUUAUUGAUUUAAUGAAAUUAUUAAAUUUUAAUUUAAACUAGGAUUAGAUACCCUAUUAUUAAAAAUGUAAAUAGUAAUACUAAAUGAUUGUUAGUUAAGUUCUUUAAAGUUAAAAAAUUUGGCGGUAUUUUAGUCUAUUUAGAGGAACCUGUUCUAUAAUUGAUAAUCCACAAUUUAUUAGACUUAUUUUAAUUAGUUUGUAUAUCGUCGUAGGUUGAAUAUUUUAAUAGAAAUUAAAUAUUCAAAAUUUAGUAUAAUAAUAAAAAUCAGAUCAAGGUGCAGCUUAUAGGUAAGUAGAAAUGGGUUACAAUAAAGUUAUUUAUAUGGAUUAAUUAUUUAAAAUAAUUAUAAAAGUGGAUUUAAAAGUAAUAAAAAUUAAUUAAUUUUUAUGAUUUAAGCUCUGAAAUAUGUACAUAUCGCCCGUCAUUUUCAUUUAAUGUGAAACAAGUCGUAACAAAGUAGGUGUACUGGAAAGUGUACCUGGAUAGGC